UUCAGUCAAUUGUGCACGCUUAGUGGAUAUUUAGGGCUGAUUUGCUUCCAAACGCAACCUGCAAAGAUCAGACAAUGAAAAUCUAAUUAGAAUAAAACCCAAAAUAAAAUAUAUUGAUAUUAACUCAAAAAAAAAAAUUCAGUUUUUGUGUUCUUCAAUUUUUUGAUUUAUUUUUUAUUUUUGUUUUUGUGAUUUUGUGAUAAUGAAUGAAAGCAAGAAAAUGCCGACCCCACUUAGUGGGAAAAUGCUUUGUUGUUGUUGAAUGAAAGCAAGAAAAUAAAAUGAAAAUAAAAGCAAAGAGUUAAAAAAAUUAGAUUGCCUCCCAAUUAGCGUUUUAGUUAACGUUUAUAGCUUGACGUAGGAGAAAGAAUUGUUAAUCACGUCACUUGUUCUUUUAAAGUUAACCACUCCUUAAUAGCAUCGUAGGUGGGUAGUAGGUACAGAUUUGUAUCAGUUGUGCAUUUAAAUUCAGAGGUGGAGCCUUUAUGUCCACCAUUUUAUGUGAAUGAAUAUUUGUAAUCAAAGAGGUUCCUUUCUGGCAAUGUUUUGGUCUCCGUCGAAUUGACUUUAAUCUUGUAUUUACUACCCACAACCUCUGCACUGGUAGAAUUUCUCUAUGAGUAAUUUGGCUGUCACAAACUUUUUUCUUCUUCCCAUUGUAGAACGUAGCCUGCUCGAUGGAUCUGCACUGAAUUUUUUUAAUUAUGA
rnacentral:lncRNA from 1 species